UGUUUUCUGGCUGGUUGUAUUGGUGCUAGCUAGGUACCAAGCUAAAGCUAGUUAUCCCAAACACCGCUUCCAUUAAUUUCAAUGGAAGGAAAGGGUAGAGGGCGGGGGACCUUUGGGCGGUGUGAAGGUGGCGUGGGAGGCGGUGAAAGAGUUAAACUUUACCCAACUUUAUGCAAAUCACCAGAGGCGACCACUGGGUGAUGACCAAUCAUAUUGAGUGGUUCGUCCCAUGACGAAUUUGACGCUAUGCCUCCCAAGGCUGGAGACUUUCUUCAGCAAAGAUGGCUGACAAAAAUACUAGGACGGAAGCAAAUGGACUCCUGAAACAACCAGCAAACCAGGCUGUCGUCUUGUGAAACAAUGGAUGUAAAGAAUCUAGUAACUAGCUAAAGCAUUUACUGCAAAUUGAAUGUAAAAUUUGUUCAGCUUGCCUUGCUGAUAUUUGCCAUGCAAUGGAGAUAGUUAGCUACGUUCUAGCUUAUUGUGCAGUGUGGGAUAAAAAUACCUGUAUAUGCCUAUGGAUGUGUAGCUAGCUAUCUAGCCGAUCUGUGUAUGGACCCAAACGUUUGGUAUACAUAUUUGUUCAGCACCAAGCUAUGAACCUCAGCUAUCAUAGCCAAUUGUAUUAACUUCAAAACAGUCUGAAUGACAUUAAUGAAGCCAAUGUAGAGUAGAAUAUAACUUUGUGCCAAGGAUUUGAUUUGAUUUAUUUCACCUUUAUUUAACCAGGUAGGCAAGUUGAGAACAAGUUCUCAUUUACAAUUGCGACCUGGCCAAGAUAAAGCAAAGCAGUUCGACACAUACAACAACACAGAGUUACACAUGGAGUAAAACAAACAUACAGUCAAUAAUACAGUAGAAAAAUAAGUCUAUAUACGAUGUGAGCAAAUGAGGUGAGAUAAGGGAGGUAAAAGGCCAUGGUGGCGAAGUAAAUACAGUAUAGCAAGUAAAACACUGGAAUGGUAGAUUUGCAGUGGAAGAAUGUGCAAAGUAGAGAUAGAAAUAAUGAGGUGCAAAGGAGCAAAACAAAUAAAUAAAUACCAUAGGGGGAGAGGUAGUUGUUUGGGCUAAAUUAUAGAUGGGCUAUGUACUGGUGCAGUAAUCUGUGAGCUGCUCUGACAGCUGGUGCUUAAAGCUAGUGAGGGAGAUAAGUGUUUCCAGUUUCAGAGAUUUUUAUAGUUCAUUCCAGUCAUUGGCAGCAGAGAACUGGAAGGAGAGGUGGCCAAAGGAAGAAUUGGUUUUGGGGGUGACCAGAGAGAUAUACCUGCUGGAGCGCGUGCUACGGGUAGGUGCUGCUAUGGUGACCAGCGAGCUGAGAUAAGGGGGGACUUUACCUAGCAGGGUCUUGUAGAUAACCUGGAGCCAGUGGGUUUGGCGACGAGUAUGAAGCGAGGGCCAGCCAACGAGAGCGUACAGGUCGCAGUGGUGGGUAGUAUAUGGGGCUUUGGUGACAAAACGGAUGGCACUGUGAUAAGACUGCAUCCAAUUUAUUGAGUAGGGUAUUGGAGGGUAUUUUGUAAAUGACGUCGAGGAUCGGUAGGAUGGUCAGUUUUACAAGGGUAUGUUUGGCAGCAUGAGUGAAGGAUGCUUUUUCGCGAAAUAGAAAGCCAAUUCUAGAUUUAACUUUGGAUUGGAGAUGUUUGAUGUCAGUCUGGAAGGAGAGUUUACAGUCUAACCAGACACCUAGGUAUUUGUAGUUGUCCACAUAUUCUAAGUCAGAACCGUCCAGAGUAGUGAUGUUGGACGGGCGGGCAGGUGCAGGCAGCGAUCGGUUGAAGAGCAUGCAUUUAGUUAGGAUGUAAGUCGUAUAUACAUGUAGUUAUUACCAUGCAUGAGAUCCCCACAUUGUAGCCUGUAUAUUUCAUUAAUUCAAUGAUCAUGUACUCUACCUUGGCAAAUAAAGGUGCAGUUCAGGUA